ensembl:lncRNA
ACAGAAUUACAGUAUCUCAUCUCAGAUGGGCCUCGAAAGACAUUCUUUACAGAAUUGGCUCUCAUGAGCUGACAGGACGAGGCCCCAGCACAUACCAGCAGAAGACGGGUAGAAUGGUCCUGCACUUCUCAAUGUCUGCCCAAGGCCACUGGGCAGAGGCCAUGGACAAUGGCCAUCUGGAUGCUGGCCUCACUGUCGGGGCGGGGCUUCAGGUCUCUAACCGCCCCAGCCCCAGGACAGCAGUGGAAAGUCACACGCAGCUCAGGAUGCCCGCAGAGCCCCUCCUGACCUCAGUCACAUGAUGAACCCAUCUCUCCAGAUCACUCUGGCGUCCCUUUCUCCGUGGAGCCUUCAGGGAUGAUGUCCCCAGGCAGUUUCCCACUCUCUCCUCCCUUCUGCCACAGCAUUUGUUGUCACUCACUAUGUCUUUUUGUUCACUCGUCCUUGUUCCCAAAAAGACCGUGGGCUCUUUGAGCGUCUUCUCUGGUCCGUGCCGAGUGCACAAUGGUAUCUCGAUAGAUCUUAGACGCUAGAUCACCUUGUUCAGUCAUUCUCAAACAUCUAUGCAUGAGAAUGACCCAAAGAAGGGGUUCAAAUGCAGAUUCUCAGACCCCAGCUGAGCAAUUGUGAAACCUGGGUCUUUAAUUAAAGAUCAGGCAAUUGUGACGCACAUAUGUUCACAACCCACCCUUUAAGAAAUACAGAUUUGUUCAAACUUCCCAUUUUGCAGGUGGAGAAACAGAGGGCUGGGGAUGCAGUCCUGAUUCAAGACCCUUAGCUACUUAGCGCAGUGGGACAGCAUGGUACUUUGAACUAGAACUAUCUUAAAUUCUCAUGAAGUGAAGUAAGCGAACCACAGCCACGCUGAGGAACGUUAAAAAUACCGCGAGCUAAAAUAAUUGCGUACCACACCUUAAAACAGUGACAAGACUCUCCAUGGCCAGAUGCCUCUGCCGCGGUCCACGAUGAGAUGAUGGUACCUUUCUUCCUGUUACUGGCAGGGUCUCCUUAGAAUUUGAAGCGUU